rnacentral:lncRNA from 1 species
GAGUAGCGGCCAGUCGGACACCUGAGCUGCCGCUGCUGGACACAAGCCCGCAGGACAGGUAGUCAAUAUGCAUUUCCAGGGUGUUGGACUGUGCUUGGGUCUCCUGUUCAUCACGGCCAAGGCGGAUUUUGUGGAUGAUGGUGUUGAGGUGGAAGACUUCAGUGAGAGUUCAGACGAGAGUGAUUUUAAAGACGAACCUUCCUCGGGGACUAUUAAAUAUAAGACACCUCAACCUAUAGGAGAAGUAUAUUUUACAG